GAGUUUGAUCAUGGCUCAGAACGAACGCUGGCGGCAUGCCUAAUACAUGCAAGUCGAACGAACUCUUCGGAGUUAGUGGCGCACGGGUGCGUAACGCGUGGGAAUCUACCCAGAGGUUCGGAAUAACGGUUGGAAACGACUGCUAAUACCGGAUGAUGUCGAGAGACCAAAGAUUUAUCGCCUUUGGAUGAGCCCGCGUAAGAUUAGCUAGUUGGUGAGGUAAAGGCUCACCAAGGCUACGAUCUUUAGCUGGUCUGAGAGGAUGAUCAGCCACACUGGGACUGAGACACGGCCCAGACUCCUACGGGAGGCAGCAGUAGGGAAUAUUGGACAAUGGGGGCAACCCUGAUCCAGCAAUGCCGCGUGAGUGAUGAAGGCCUUAGGGUUGUAAAGCUCUUUUACCCGGGAUGAUAAUGACAGUACCGGGAGAAUAAGCUCCGGCUAACUCCGUGCCAGCAGCCGCGGUAA
rnacentral:rRNA from 1 species